rnacentral:rRNA from 1 species
AUGGAUUUUCCAAGAUUUGAUGGCUCAAACCCCCAUGAGUGGUUGAGGCUCACCGAAAAAUAUUUCUCCAUGGUGUUCAUACCUGAAAAUGCAAAGUUUGACUAUGCCCAAAUGUACGUCAUAGGAAAAGCUGACACCUGGCUCAGAAAUUCAGGUAUCCUGCAAUCCAAUCCCACCUGGGACUCCUUUUGCAAAGCCCUGUGCAAAAGGUUCUCAACCACCAGUUCAUAUGAGGCAGUAGCAAACUUCAACUCAAUCAGACAAGGCUCUAAGAAAAUGGCUUGUUAUAAAAAAGAAAAUCCUGACGUCAAUGAGCAAUACUAUGUCAAGUGUUACAUCAAUGGACUAAGGUAAGAAAUCAAGCAUUAUCUGAAGCCAUUCAAGCCAGCCACACUAUAUGAUGCAGUGGAGACUGCUAGAGAUAUGGAGUUGGGAGCUAAUGUAGCACAAGGGAAAAGAUAUCAAACCUCUGGGUUUUCCCAGAGAAGCACAACAAAUAAUACUUACCUGUCCAAGCCCAGAUUGCCAGAAAAUGUGCCUAACAAACUACCAGAUAAAACUGGGACUAGACCAGAGGCUAGAUAUAAAGAACCGGGACAGUGCAGAUAUUGUGGACAAAGAUGGUUCCUGGGACAUAAAUGUGCCCAAUAUAAAACAUUGAACUUACUGGCAGCGGAGGAAGAAGUACAAACUGACUGGGAAGAGCAAUUGCAGAACACAGACAACCCCAAUGACACUGAGCAACCAGCCACUUCUCCUACUGAGGAAGAACAACUUAUGCUCAUUUCCAUGCAAGCUAUCAAAGGAAAAAGCAUAGCGGCCACAUUCACCUUAUGGGUCAAUAUUGGUGGAAAAAGAGCCUUGGCCCUAGUAGACUCUGGGAGCACCAACACCUUUAUUGACAUGUCGUUCGCAACCAAAACAAACUGCACCAUAACAAAGAACAAUUUACAACCAGUACACAUAGCUGGAGGAGGAAAAUUGCAAACUGGAGCCCACAUACCUGCUGCUUGUUACAACAUCCAAAACCAUCAGUUCGCCAAUGAUUUCAAACUCCUCCCUCUCAAGGGAUAUGAUAUCAUCCUAGGAUGUGAUUGGUUGUUGGAGCACAGCUCGAUAUCUCUGGACUUCGGUGAAAGAUUAAUGACCAUCAACUAG